GUCCGCCUCUGCCCCGUCUGCCCCCACCCGGUCAGGUUUCUUAGCAGGACCCGGCCCGGUUUCUAAGUGGGACCCGAUUUGCCCCCACCCGGUCUGCUUUCUAAGCGGGACCGAGUCCUCCUCCGCCCGGUCCGCCCCCACCCGGUCCCGUUUCUAAGCAGGACCCAGUUUAUAAGCGGGACCCAGUCCAUGGGCACCCGGUCCGGUUUCGAAGCGGGCCCCUCUACGCCCCCCCACCCCCCGCGGUCCGGUUUCCAAGCAGGACCCAGUCAGCGCACACCCGGUCCCGUUUCUAAGUGGGACCCAGUUCAGCCCCAGAGCCUUCCGGUUUCUAAGACGGAAGUAGGCCGCUUCGACCUGGUCCGCGUGCUAAGCGUGGCCCAGUCUCCUCACAGCCAGCCACCCAUGGUUCUAUGUUGGACCCAGCCGGCCCCUAGUCUGUUUUAGUUUCUAAGUCAUACCCAUGCCCACCCUGUGCCUCGUCCAGUUUCUAAAUUGGGCCCAAUCUGACUCAGCCGGUGUCCGGACUCAGUCCGGAGAGAGAAAUGCUCGAGUCAAAUCUGAAACACCUCCCUUGAGAGCUGCAGAACUAGCAUCCAACAGGGACGUACAGCCUCCAGAGGCAGCGGGAAAGCAGAAGCUCAGGGGGUUCAGCAGCUUGUCCACGGUGUCGUCUUCACUAGACCACGAGCUCCGUGAGGGUAGACACCAAGCCUGUCUCAUCCAUCCCAGGAUCUGCCAUGUCGGUCCCCUUGCCAGGUGGACACCAGACUCAAGAAAUAGCUGUUCAGUGAAUGCAUGUCUCAAAGCUUUUAAGUUUUAAGGAUAAUUCUCCGAGCCAACUGCGUGAUGAUACUGGAAACAUAAGAACUGAACGGGCUGUUCCUGCUCUGUGUCUCCCAAAUCCAGCUGGGAAGCAGGAGGUUUGAAGGACAAGCAUUAUAGAUGGGGACUCUGGGUGAAGAACCUCAAACAGGGAGCCAGGCCAGGACUGUCAUUGUGAAAUAGGAACAUUUUCAUGGGAGGUGACCCUUUGCUGGAACCCCUCAAUUCCAAUGUGGUCGAUAGCUUUGGAUUGUUAUGCAAUGUGACUAAUUCACCUGUGGAAAAAAUUUAGCUCCAACAGUAGUGCUAUUUUUUGUUUUUCAUUAAAAUCCUGAUAUCCUGACUAA